ACAACAAGACAGUUAUAUGACUCCUUCUUUCCCUCUUGUGUUUCUCUUCUUGCUUGGACCACAGUCCAGUGUUGCCUGUUAUCUAUUUUCUGAAAGCAGGUGCUUUGUGUAUUUGCUCAAUUUCUAUUUGCUCUGCAAGAAUUAGUCUGGCACGCCAUCACAGUGUGAAGUGAAAGUUUUUCUUCCUUUAAUAGUAAAACGAGAGGUGUGUGUGUGUGUGUGUGUGUGUGUGUGUGUGUGUGUGUGUGUGUGUGUUUGUGUGUGGUUAAACUCAGGACCCACAUUGAUAACAUGUAUUCUAACACCAAAUUAUGCCAUAGAUUUUUAUUUUCAUUUUUAGAUAGGGGAUCACUAGCCUUGGCUUGUUUAGAGCUUGAUAUGUAGACCAGGAUGGUUUCAAACUCACAGGUAUCCCCCUGCCUCUUCCUUCUGAGUUCUGGGAUUAAAGAUGUGGCAUCAUGCCCUGCUAGAAUAUUUUAAUAAAUAAAACUUUCCUAUUAGGAAAAACAACCAAAUGAAUUGUCAUUCUCUGUGGUACUUAAAUGACCAUUCUGGAUUAUCCAAUAUGAACAUUGGUUAGCCUGUGUCUUAGUUACUUUUCUGUUGCUGUGAAGAGAGAUCAUGACUAAGGCACCUUAUAGAAGGAAGAAUUUUUGGUGUUAUAGUUUCAGAGUAUAAGUCUAUGACCAUUAUAGCAGAGAGCUGGGCGGCAGGUAGGCAAGCAUACUGCUGAAGCAGUAGUUAAGAAUUAUUUUGGGUGCACAAGCAGGAAGCAGAGAACUAACUGAAAUGGUGUGGGCCUACACCCAGUUACACACCUCCUCCAGCAAGGCCACACCUCUCAAUCCUUCCCAAACAGUUCCACCAACUGGGGACCAAGUAUUUAAAUACAGAAGUCUAUGGGAGCUAUUCUCAUUCUAACCACUACAACCAGCCACACCUAUCAGGGCUGGGCUUGGCUGUUGCUCACUUCUCCUUUGGGUUCACCAGGGGCACCAGUAGCAGGUGUUGAGAGAUACUUGGUGCUGGAUGGGGAGGCAGAAAUAUGCAAGGAAUAUUCCAUGAAGAGCUGGGAUCAAAACAAAUGGCUAAGAAGGUCCAUGGCUUCAUAACUAAUUCAGAAACCACUUUUCUCUUAGUAAGAUUCCCAACCAGCUGGUUCAGUUUGCUAGUCUUUUUCAAACCUUUCCUGCUGAAAAUCUAUUUCCUUCUUCUGAUGCCUCUGAUUAUGUGUCCCAUGCUUAGGAUAGGCCUAGAUGAUUCUAGCCAGAAAAUUACUGGCCCAGGCUAACUAAUGUCAGUUUUCUUGCCUCAGUAUAGACAAGACUUUAUGACCCUAAGUGAUACUGCCGUAGACUAUUGGCUUAGAUAUACAACAUAUGGAAUAGCAUAUAGAAUAGAAUAUACAAUUCCACAGCAUAGAAUUCAUGCUUCCAUUCUCAUUGCUUAAGAAUGGGAUAAUUAGUAGACAGGUAUGUACCUCAUACCUGUAACCUAGCACUGGGGAGGUAAGAGCAGGAAGAUUAUAAAUUCAAAGCCAACCUGAACUGCUUAGACAUUCCAGUUUGGUCUAUGAGACCUUGACUCCAAAACAGACAGAUGACAGACAGACAGAUAGACACACACGCAGACAGACAAACAAACAAGAAGCAA
rnacentral:lncRNA from 1 species